CGCUGUUUCAGUAUCAUCUUCAUAUGAGCUAGACGUCAGAUAUCUGCCUUCUGGUACUCAGGUCCUUUACUCUCUGAAGCUACUGCACAAAUUCGUCUUGAAAUUGCUGACUUUGUAAGCGGACUUGCCUACGUGUAUAAAUAUGAUAAAGAAGAAGAAAAUGUAAAUUAUGGAUCAUUAAUGGAUGAAUUCGAAAAAUGGAUAAGGAUUUCAAAUGUAGUCCUUCAAGGAGCCUUCGAAAUUCAAGGAUAAUUUAUCUAUCUGUAUUACAAAUUCAGGGUCGGUUUACACUCUGAACCUCUUAAAAUAAGCACAUUAACAGAUCUUGGGAAUAUCUAGCAGGAACAGAGUGGUGCGGAAUAUAAAGAAGUGUGUAACUUGCAGAUUCCCUAGCCAAACAAGCCAUUUCUGCAGGUACGCCCUUUCAAUACCCAGCUCCUAAAAGCCAUCUGAAAAGUAUUCUAAAUGAAUUGAGCCUACAGCAAUGGCAAGAAGAAUGGGACAAUGGCUCAACUGGCAGAAACCUCCAUCAAAUCAUCUCGAAAGUGUCCUUUAACCCAUCAUCUUGGAAUAGGCUUGACAUUAUCUUUGCAACUGGCCAAGGCCCUUUCCCUUCAUAUUUCAAGCGAUUCCAUAUUAAAGGAUCUGAUCAAUGUGGCUGCGGCGAAGUAGGCGAUCCCCUUCAUUAUGCCACUAGCUGCCCUCUCACCACAUCUUUUCAUCUCAAAAAACCCACCCACGACCUAGAAAAUAUCUGGUGGACCAACGUUAUGAGAAACAAGAUGUUCAAGGUUAAAAUUAGAAACCUUGUGCGCUUCCUACAAGAGAACGAGGAAUUGAUUUCUCCAGACCCAAGCCCAGUAUAAAUUUUCGCUUCAUUUCUCAACCAAGCUCUUCUCCGGAAUAUAUUAACUUCAAUAGAUUUCAUCUACUCAUACCCCCUACCGAACGCCUCCUUCAUCAUUAUAAUAUUGUAUAUAGUUACUUUUCAAGUGUAUUGAUGAUAUUUUAUGUCU